GGGUUGAUGUAGUGAACGUGUGUAUCUAUACCACCAGCUGUUAUGAUGAAUCCUUCUCCAGCUAAUGCUUCUGUAGCAACCCCUACUAUAAAGUCUACAUCAUCCAUGAUGUCUGGGUUACCACCUUUACCGAUAGCCAUGAUUUUUCCAUCUCUGAUACCGAUAUCUGCUUUGUAUAUUCCUGUGUAGUCUAUGAUUGUAGCUCCUGAAAUAAUUAAAUCAGCUACUAAUGG
rnacentral:sRNA from 1 species